rnacentral:rRNA from 1 species
UUUUUAUACGUUUUGCAUAUCAUUAAGCUGAGGAAAAGAAACCAACAGGGAUUGCCUCAGUAACGGCGAGUGAAGCGGCAAAAGCUCAAAUUUGAAAUCCCCCCGGGGAGUUGUAAUUUGAAGAUUGCGUCUUGGAGGCGACCGUGUCUAUGUUCCUUGGAACAGGACGUCACAGAGGGUGAGAAUCCCGUGCGGCACGGCCCCCGGCUCCUUAUAAGGCGCUCUCGACGAGUCGAGUUGUUUGGGAAUGCAGCUCAAAGUGGGUGGUAAAUUCCAUCUAAAGCUAAAUACAGGCGAGAGACCGAUAGCGAACAAGUACAGUGAUGGAAAGAUGAAAAGCACUUUGAAAAGAGAGUGAAACAGCACGUGAAAUUGUUGAAAGGGAAGGGCAUGCCGUCAGAUUGUCAGUGUGGGUAAGAAGCGGGGUACAAAGACUGUGGAACGUGGCCCUCGGGUGUUAUAGCCGCAGUUCAUGCCCCGUCUCUUUCCGAGGCCUGCUUUGAGGACACCGACGUAAUGACGGUACGCCGCCCGUCUUGAACCACGGACCAAAAAGGUUUAAAU